AGAGCGAACGCUGGCGGCAGGCCUAACACAUGCAAGUCGAGCGCCCGUAGCAAUACGGGAGCGGCAGACGGGAUAGUAACACGUGGGAACGCGCCCUUCGGUUCGGAAUAACUCAGGGAAACUUGAGCUAAUACCGAAUACGCCCUUACGGGGAAAGAUUUAUUGCCGAAGGAACGGCCCGCGUCCGAUUAGCUAGUUGGUGAGGUAAUGGCUCACCAAGGCUACGAUCGGUAGCUGGUCUGAGAGGAUGACCAGCAUCACUGGGACUGAGACACGGCCCAGACUCCUACGGGAGGCAGCAGUAGGGAAUUUCCACAAUGGGUGAAAGCCUGAUGGAGCAACGCCGCGUGCAGGAUGAAGGCUCUAGGGUCGUAAACUGCUUUUAUCUGUGACGAAUAUGACGGUAGCAGAUGAAUAAGGAUCGGCUAACUCCGUGCCAGCAGCCGC
rnacentral:rRNA from 1 species